UUUAUUCGGCUUGCGCUUCCAUG
rnacentral:misc_RNA from 1 species